rnacentral:misc_RNA from 1 species
GGUUCGAUCCUGGCUCAGAUUGAACGCUGGCGGGAUGCUUUACACAUGCAAGUCGAACGGCAGCACGGACUUCGGUCUGGUGGCGAGUGGCGAACGGGUGAGUAAUGUAUCAGGGCGUGAAAGUAGCGGGGGAUAACUACUGCGAAAGCGUAGCUAAUACCACGCGCUACGCCCUUCGAGGAAAGCGGGGGGACCUUCGGGCCUCGCACUAUUAGAGCGGCCGAUAUCGGAUUAGCUAGUUGGUGGGGUAACGGCUCACCAAGGCGACGAUCCGUAGCUGGUUUGAGAGGACGUCCAGCCACACUGGGACGCUGAGACACGGCCCAGACUCACAGGGAGGCAGCAGUGGGGGAAUUUUGGACAAUGGGGGGAAACCCUGAUCCAGCCAUCCCGCGUGUGCGAUGAAGGCCUUCGGGUUGUAAAGCACUUUUGGCAGGAAAGAAACGGCACGGGAUAAUACCCGUGCAACUGACGGUACCUGCAGAAUAAGCACCGGCUAACUACGUGCCAGCAGCCGCGGUAUACGUAGGGUGCAAGCGUUAAUCGGAAUUACUGGGCGUAAAGCGUGCGCAGGCGGUUCCGGAAAGAAGAUGUGAAAUCCCAGAGCUUAACUUUGGGACUGCAUUUUUAACUACCGAGCUAGAGUGUGUCAGAGGGAGGUGGAAUUCCUGCGUGUAGCAGUGAAAUGCGUAGAUAUGCGGAGGAACACCGAUGGCAGAGGCAGCCUCCUGGGAUAACACUGACGCUCAUGCACGAAAGCGUGGGAGCAAACAGGAUUAAGAUACCCUGGUAGUCCACGCCCUAAACGAUGUCAACUAGCUGUUGGGGCCUUCGGGCCUUGGUAGCGCAGCUAACGCGUGAAGUUGACCGCCUGCAAGGAAGUACGGUCGCAAGAUUAAAACUCAAAGGAAUUGACGGGGACCCGCACAAGCGGUCUGGAUGAUGUGGACGGAUUAAUUCGAUGCAACGCGAAAAACCUUACCUACCGCUUGACAUGUCUGGAAUCCCGAAGAGAUUUGGGAGUGCUCGCAGAACCG